rnacentral:rRNA from 1 species
AUGGCCUCUCCCUUCCUCCCCUCAUUGCUUCUCUCCAGCGCCGCCGCCCUCGACCCGCCUCGUCGUCGCCUUGGCCUGGAGCCCGCACCUGGAGCUCCAUCGGAUCGCACAGCCGCCGACCAUAGUCGCCCUGCGCCCACGUCCCCGCUGCCAACUCUCCUCACCGAAGGAGCACUGGGAGGAGUGGAACACCACCGUCGUCGCCUCGUUCCCUGCUUCCCCCUGGUCUUCAUCGCGAGGUCCAGCAAGUCCGGUGCCUCCCCAAGUCCAGCGACCGUCCCGGUCACCUCCGGCUGCCAGGACUCUCCAGCAAGCCGCCGUUGCCUCUGCUUCACGAAACCACGCUGCGGCGCCCCAGUCACCUGCGACCUCGGGUCGUCUCUGCUUCGUCCUCGUCUCACGCCAUGCCUCUCCGCGUACGUGUUCACUGCGCCGCCGUCGCAGCGCCUCCCCAAGUUCUGCCCCUGCCUCGUUCGGCUACCACGACCGCACCGCCUCGCUGCUGCUCUGCUCGACGCGCCCUUCUUCCUUGCCUUUCCCCGCGCCAAAGCAAGCCGCAACCACCGAACCAGGAAACGCCAAGGACAUCUUCGGGGUUUUCGUCAAGUCCUGUUCUGUAGAACGUACACGCAACACCGACGUCCACGAGUACCUCCUACUAGCCGUCCACACCGACCACAUCAAGCCAGCAAGUCCGAAGACCCCAAUGUACCCGUGGACGUCAAGUACCUCUGCCGAAGACUCCCGCCAAAGACACGUGUACGACUACUACAUGAACAAGCACCACGACGACCCUCGAAGAGUUCGGAUUCGUCAAGUUCAUCUACGUGCCUCUACGACUACACAUCCGGGAUGCGUCGAGUAACUCUACGAAAGAGCCGAAGGUCUACGAACCGUGUGCGACGACCAUUGCUGAAGACCGUCGAGUGA